GACGAACGCUGGCGGCGUGCCUAACACAUGCAAGUCGAACGGAGUUAAGCGCUGUGGAGUCUUCGGACAAAGCAUGCUUAACUUAGUGGCGGACGGGUGAGUAACGCGUGAGCAACCUGCCUUUCAGAGGGGGAUAACGUUUUGAAAAGAACGCUAAUACCGCAUAACAUAUUUUUGUCGCAUGGGAGAAAUAUCAAAGGAGCAAUCCGCUGAGAGAUGGGCUCGCGUCCGAUUAGCUAGUUGGUGGGGUAAAAGCCUACCAAGGCCGCGAUCGGUAGCCGGACUGAGAGGUUGAACGGCCACAUUGGGACUGAGACACGGCCCAGACUCCUACGGGAGGCAGCAGUGGGGGAUAUUGCACAAUGGGGGAAACCCUGAUGCAGCAACGCCGCGUGAAGGAAGAAGGUUUUCGGAUUGUAAACUUCUUUUGUCAGGGAUGAUAAUGACAGUACCUGACGAAUAAGCUCCGGCUAACUACGUGCCAGCAGCCGCA
rnacentral:rRNA from 1 species